CCAGCGUGAAGCUAUUGACUGACAACAAGUGUGACCCCUCGGUUGUUUACAAUCCACGUUGUCAUAGACAUGGAAGACAGCUAACCAGCCAGCCAGCUAAAUAACCAGCCAGCCAGCUAAAUAACCAGCCAACCAACCAGCUAACCAGCCAGCCAGCUAGCCAGCCAACCAACCAGCUAACCAGCCAGUCAGCUAACCAGCCAGCCAGCCAGCCAGCUAGCUAACCAGCCAGCUAACCAGCUGACCAGCCAGCUAACCAGCUAACCGCAGCUAAACAAAACGUGGUUUGAGUCAAUUUCUACCAAAAUUGAAGAUGAUGAACAUCAGCAACCGAGCAUUGGAUAGACUCUACUCUGUUCUCCUCCUGGCCGUGGUGGUACUGUCGUGGACCUACGUCAUCUAUGGGAGUAGAAUAGCAGCACAGAGACAGUUGGAGAAGAGACUCAACAUCAAACUACACAACUAAAGCACCAGCGGCUAGCUCAACUCCAAUACACUAAAGUCUGGAGUUAUGAAUACCGUGGACAUUCCCAAGACAACGUCAAGGACCCUGGACGAGUCUCCAUCCCGUUGCCGACUGUGAUGAAGUCUGUCUUUACUGACCAGCUGCUCUUUCUGACUCAUUUAAUACUCCACCAUGAAAUGCUUUGUUACCAUGUUAGUUUGUCUUAGAUGUGAGUCAUAUUUUUCAUAUUGUGCAAAAUUAUUUUUAUUAAUAAAAAUGGAGAAAAAAAACUAA